UACGUAGGGUGCGAGCGUUGUCCGGAAUUAUUGGGCGUAAAGAGCUCGUAGGCGGUUUGUCGCGUCUGCCGUGAAAGUCCGGGGCUCAACUCCGGAUCUGCGGUGGGUACGGGCAGACUAGAGUGAUGUAGGGGAGACUGGAAUUCCUGGGCGUAGCGGUGAAAUGCGCAGAUAUCAGGAGGAACACCGAUGGCGAAGGCAAGGUCUCUGGGCGAUUAACUGACGCUGAGGACGAAAGCAUGGGGAGCGAACAGG
rnacentral:rRNA from 1 species